AAUUCAAAGACACACACUAAAGACAGUGUAAUAGUUGUUUUUUUUUUUUUUUUUGUCCUUUCUAUCAGCAUAAAUUGAUCAUGCAAAGCACCGUUCUGACCACAGACUGGUACCUCCAGGCCGCCGCGAGACAGAGCCCUCAUCUCCCGGGUGGACGCAGAUGCCUAAGCGUGGUUCAGCAUUCAGACGUUCAUUAUCCAGCCUGUCUCCCUUCGACACACGGCUUUUAGAUCGUCCCGAUCGUCCCUGCUUAUUACUGUUCGCCAGAAGCAGGGCCAUUAAAGGAGGAAGAGCCAGCAUGAAUGUUUAACCCAGCACGGGAGUGCCUCUCCUUUGGACCUUACAUCUCAUUAAACGCAACCUUCAUUCUGCUCAAGAGAUGGAUUCCGAAAGGAACAGAUUUAAAAUUCACUGCCUCGUCAUGAAGAAACAUGGUAAAGAGAGAUGUUGAGGUAAAGUUAUAUUACAAAAUAUUCGCUUAAAAAACUCAUCAUUUUGCUCCCAUGGGAACUUCUUUAUUAAAUUUACUUUAAAAUAAUGGCAUUCAUAAAAAAAAAAAAAUCUACCCGAGGGCCUUAAUAAAAUGGAAGCGCCAACACA
rnacentral:lncRNA from 1 species